rnacentral:rRNA from 1 species
UGGGGAAUAUUGCACAAUGGGCGCAAGCCUGAUGCAGCCAUGCCGCGCGUGUGAAGAAGGCCUUCGGGUUGUAAAGCACUUUCAGCGGGGAGGAAGGCGAUAAGGUUAAUAACCUUGUCGAUUGACGUUACCCGCAGAAGAAGCACCGGCUAACUCCGUGCCAGCAGCCGCGGUAAUACGGAGGGUGCAAGCGUUAAUCGGAAUUACUGGGCGUAAAGCGCACGCAGGCGGUCUGUCAAGUCGGAUGUGAAAUCCCCGGGCUCAACCUGGGAACUGCAUUCGAAACUGGCAGGCUAGAGUCUUGUAGAGGGGGGUAGAAUUCCAGGUGUAGCGAUGAAAUGCGUAGAGAUCUGGAGGAAUACCGGUGGCGAAGGCGGCCCCCUGGACAAAGACUGACGCUCAGGUGCGAAAGCGUGGGGAGCAAACAGG